rnacentral:rRNA from 1 species
CACCUGAUUCCAUGCCGAACUCAGAAGUGAAACACAAUAGCGCCGAUGGUAGUGUGGGGCUUCCCCAUGUGAGAGUAGGACAUCGCCAGGC